CAGGUUGAAGGUUGGGUAACACUAACUGGAGGACCGAACCGACUAAUGUUGAAAAAUUAGCGGAUGACCUGUGGCUGGGGGUGAAAGGCCAAUCAAACCGGGAGAUAGCUGGUUCUCCCCGAAAGCUAUUUAGGUAGCGCCUCGUGAAUUCAUCUCCGGGGGUAGAGCACUGUUUCGGCUAGGGGGCCAUCCCGGCUUACCAACCCGAUGCAAACUGCGAAUACCGGAGAAUGUUAUCACGGGAGACACACGGCGGGUGCUAACGUCCGUCGUGAAGAGGGAAACAACCCAGACCGCCAGCUAAGGUCCCAAAGUCAUGGUUAAGUGGGAAACGAUGUGGGAAGGCCCAGACAGCCAGGAUGUUGGCUUAGAAGCAGCCAUCAUUUAAAGAAAGCGUAAUAGCUCACUGGUCGAGUCGGCCUGCGCGGAAGAUGUAACGGGGCUAAACCAUGCACCGAAGCUGCGGCAGCGACACUGUGUGUUGUUGGGUA
rnacentral:rRNA from 1 species